GCGCGUCCCCCGGGGCCCCGGCCUCCGGGAUGAGCAGGGAGGGGCCGUGGGCCUCGGCGGCCGGCGGAGGUGGGGGGCCUUGAUGAGCCCCCGGAGCCGGCCUCCCGCGCGCGGAACCCAGCGCGCCCGCCUUGCCGGGGCGCCCGGGUGGGGGCGUCCACGAUCCUGGCCCUCCGGCCCGCCGACCUGGAGCGAGGGCGCGGCCCCGAGAGUCCGCGCCGGUUCCUUUCUCCUGCUCGCGGCCCCUCCGCGCGACCCCGGGCCAAAGGCGGUUGAGCUGAGGCUCCGAGAGAAAGGGAGCUGAUUUUCUGGCGGAUGGAUUUUGAAGAGGAGAUAAGGCAGUUUUCCCAUUUGGGCAAUGGAGAAAUGUUCGCCAUAUUUGGAUUUGCUUUACUUCUGGGACGUGGACUUUGCCAAGCUAACGCGAAAGUUGGUGAUGGUGGAGAUGGAGAGCUGACAGAACUAAUUACAGUUAAAGUGGGCGCAGUGGCAAGAGGGAAAUUGCAAAGCUCACCUACAGCCAGACUGACAGCAUGCUUUUCUAGGAAUCAAGAAUCACCAUCAGGUUAUUUCCUAAGAUGAAACUUGGAAAGCCCCUUGGAGGCUGCACAGCCAUCUGCACACUUGAACAUGAAAAAUGGUCUUCUUUCAUCAGGGAGAUCUCCCUCUUUAGCUAACUCAUCAGAAGUGAUGAGAAGAAGAAGAAGGGAGCCCUACCCAACCACACUCAUCCAGACAAAUCAAAUCGUUUUGGUUUGUUUGUGUGUUUGUUUGUUUGUUUUUUAGCAAGGAGCGGAGCCGCACACAGGUGGCCAGAUCACCAUCUUCUGCUGGCACCAGCACUGAGUAGCCCCCUCCCGGACUGCCAUCUACAUGCAGGUGGUGCCCUGAACAAGAGCACGUGGCUGAGGCAGCCAAUGGGAGCUGAAAUCCUGCUCACGGAGUGGAAUGUAUUGGUGCAUGGCCGUGUCUACCCACACAACAUGGCUCCUUUUUUUAAAUUUGCGCCAAGGCACCCUGUAUGGGGCAGGGGCAACUCAGACCAUCCCACCCCCAGCCCCCAGUCCUACCCAGGAUUACCUCUGAUGCAUUGAAGAGUCUCAUGAACAAUUUAGGUUUAUUGUAAAAGAUGAAAUAUUUGACACAGUUGAAAUUAAAUAGGUAAAACUCCAAAUAUUACCAUGUAUAUGAAUUAUGUAUGUACAUAUUUAUAUAUAUAUAUGUAUGUAUAGUGAUGUCGAUACAUAUUCCUAUGUAUCAGAAGUUAGCACAACUUAAAUUUAGUAAA